rnacentral:snoRNA from 1 species
AAACCAUGAUGUGGACACUUUCGGAGUAAAUCUCUGUAUUGUUCCCAUGCUUCAUACAACGACUCACUAUUGAAUCGAGUGAAGGUUGUGAUGUCAUUCCUUAGCUU